GCUCAGACUCCAACUCUGGAUCUAACUCGAAUGAAGCAACCACCACCACUGCUACAACAACUACAGCUGCAGGAACUACACUAUCAGUGAACCAGCUGAUUGCUCAACUGGUGGCACUACUAGGAUAAAAUUAAGUCUGCCAUGGAGCCAGAAUUCAACUAGUGCUCAAAAAAAAGCAUUUUGUUAAGAACAUCAAACCUGGCUUCUGUUGUUAUUGGCUUGUCUUUAAGCAAUAAAAAUUAAAUUCAUCAUGAA